rnacentral:rRNA from 1 species
CCUACGGGAGGCAGCAGUGGGGAAUAUUGGACAAUGGGGGGAACCCUGAUCCAGCGACGCCGCGUGAGUGAAGAAGUAUUUCGGUAUGUAAAGCUCUAUCAGCAGGGAAGAAAAUGACGGUACCUGUCUAAGAAGCCCCGGCUAACUACGGGCCAGCAGCCGCGGUAAUAAGUAGGGGGCAAGCGUUAUCCGGAUUUACUGGGUGUAAAGGGAGCGUAGACGGGGCAGCAAGUCUGAUGUGAAAGGUCCGGGCCCAACCCCGGGACUGCAUUGGAAACCGUUGAGCUGGAGUACAGGAGAGGUAAGCGGAAUUCCUAGUGUAGCGGUGAAAUGCGUAGAUAUUAGGAGGAACACCAGUGGCGAAGGCGGCUUACUGGACUGUAACUGACGUUGAGGCUCGAAAGCGUGGGGAGCAAACAGGAUUAGAUACCCUAGUAGUC